UACCAGCACCCCGAGUUGUCGGGACGAUUAUUGGGCCUAAAGCAUCCGUAGCCUGUUCUACAAGUCCUCCGUUAAAUCCACCUGCUCAACAGAUGGGCUGCGGGGGAUACUAUAGGGCUAGGAGGCGGGAGAGGCAAACGGUACUCAGUGGGUAGGGGUAAAAUCCAUUGAUCUACUGAAGACCACCAGUGGCGAAGGCGGUUUGCCAGAACGCGCUCGACGGUGAGGGAUGAAAGCUGGGGGAGCAAACCGG
rnacentral:rRNA from 1 species